AGAUUGAACGCUGGCGGCAUGCCUUACACAUGCAAGUCGAACGGCAGCACGGGAGCAAUCCUGGUGGCGAGUGGCGAACGGGUGAGUAAUACAUCGGAACGUGCCCAAUCGUGGGGGAUAACGCAGCGAAAGCUGUGCUAAUACCGCAUAAGAUCUACGGAUGAAAGCAGGGGAUCGCAAGACCUUGCGCGAAUGGAGCGGCCGAUGGCAGAUUAGGUAGUUGGUGAGGUAAAGGCUCACCAAGCCUUCGAUCUGUAGCUGGUCUGAGAGGACGACCAGCCACACGUGGGACUGAGACACGG
rnacentral:rRNA from 1 species